GAUGAACGCUGACAGAAUGCUUAACACAUGCAAGUCGAUUCAAGUUACCUUCGGGUAAUGAGGAUGGCGGACGGGUGAGUAACGCGUAAGGAACUUGCCUCUUGGUCUGGGACAACUGUUGGAAACGACAGCUAAUACCGGAUAUUAUGAGAUUCUCGCAUGGGAAACUUAUGAAAGCUAUAUGCGCCAAGAGAGAGCCUUGCGUUCCAUUAGCUAGUUGGUGGGGUAACGGCCCACCAAGGCGACGAUGGAUAGCCGGCCUGAGAGGGUGAACGGCCACAAGGGGACUGAGACACGGCCCUUACUCCUACGGGAGGCAGCAGUGGGGAAUAUUGGACAAUGGGCCACAAGCCUGAUCCAGCAAUUCUGUGUGCACGAUGAAGGUCUUCGGAUUGUAAAGUGCUUUCAGUUGGGAAGAAGAAAGUGACGGUACCAACAGAAGAAGCGACGGCUAAAUACGUGCCAGCAGCCGCGGUAAUACGUAUGUCGCAAGCGUUAUCCGGAUUUAUUGGGCGUAAAGCGCGUCUAGGCGGAAAAAUAAGUCUGAUGUUAAAAUGCGGGGCUCAACUCCGUAUUGCGUUGGAAACUGUUUUUCUAGAGUACUGGAGAGGUGGGCGGAACUACAAGUGUAGAGGUGAAAUUCGUAGAUAUUUGUAGNAAUGNCGAUGGAGAAGUCAGCUCACUGGNCAGANACUGACGCUGAAGCGCGAAAGCGUGGGGAGCAAACAGGAUUAGAUACCCUGGUAGUCCACGC
rnacentral:rRNA from 1 species